rnacentral:rRNA from 1 species
CCUACGGGGGGCAGCAGUGGGGAAUAUUGCACAAUGGGGGAAACCCUGAUGCAGCGACGCCGCGUGAGUGAGGAAGUAUUUCGGUAUGUAAAGCUCUAUCAGCAGGGAAGAAAAUGACGGUACCUGACUAAGAAGCCCCGGCUAACUACGUGCCAGCAGCCGCGGUAAUACGUAGGGGGCAAGCGUUAUCCGGAUUUACUGGGUGUAAAGGGAGCGUAGACGGAAUUGCAAGUCUGAUGUGAAAAUCCGGGGCCCAACCCCGGAACUGCAUUGGAAACUGUAUUUCUAGAGUGUCGGAGAGGCAA